UACAGAGGUCUCAAGCGUUGUUCGGAUUCAUUGGGCGUAAAGGGUGCGUAGGUGGCGCCGUAAGUCAGGUGUGAAAUUUCGGAGCUUAACUCCGAAACUGCAUUUGAUACUGCGGUGCUUGAGGACUGGAGAGGAGACUGGAAUUUACGGUGUAGCAGUGAAAUGCGUAGAGAUCCGGAAGAACACCGGAGGCGAAGGCGGCUUGCUGGGCGUGAUCUGACGCUGAGGCGCGAAAGCGUGGGGAGCGAACAGG
rnacentral:rRNA from 1 species